AGCACCGGAUAAAAGCAGCGAGGCUGGGGUCCUUCCAUGGAGGACAGUGCCUUCCAGCAGCCCCUGCGCUGGGCCCGGGGGUGUCGUGGAGUCCCUGGCUUGCACCCAGGGUGCAUGUCUAGCCCAUGGGGGACACCCCAAAGCGGCAAGAAGUCCCCCAGUGGAAGGGAACAGGACGCCAGACUCCAAAGGGGACGUUGAGGCAAUCAGGGGAAAAAAUUCCCACGGAGAACAGUGCCUUCCCAGCAGCCUCUGCCCCGGACCCAGAACCCAGAGUUGAUCUCUACACCACGCCAUCACUGCCAGGGGUGAGGAAAUUCUGGCACCAGUGAUUCAGCACUGUUUUUUUCUCUCUCUUCAGUGCCUCUUUCAGUGAUAUGAAGUUAAAACCAGAUACCCAGCCGUGGGAUUGCUAGAUCAGACAGAGCCAAUUGAUGAUCAGCAGGGCCUGAAAAUGCCAAAACCCUGAAACAACUGACCUUCGAAAACUUCAACAUCCCUGAACGAAACGUCCAAACACAUUUAUCCACCAAUCAAAGACCCUUUAUAGUCUGUGCUCUGUGCAUCUCAGAAGUCUCUCUUUACCACACUGUCUAUAUACUGCAUGAGCCAUUAUAUGAAACUCCAAGGCAUCUUAUACUAUAUAUUCAACCAUGUAUCCCUAGUACCUAGUACAGUCCUGCCAUAUAGUUUGCUACUAAACAUUUGCAGAAUGAAGUAAUUAUCUUGUAUCCAGGUUCCAAGUUUUAAGGUGAUUUCUCACUAAAAAUAAAGCAUUACAGUUCGCAA
ensembl:lncRNA LINC02963 long intergenic non-protein coding RNA 2963